rnacentral:lncRNA from 1 species
UGUUUUUUUUUUUUUCUAAUUUUUUAAGGGAUACUUGUAUUGCGAUGUAUUUCCCUCUUAGGACUGCUUUUGCUGUAUCCCAAAGAUUUUGAACCAUUGUAUAUUUAUUUUAAUUAGUUUCUUGAAUAUUUUUAAUUCUGCUCUAAUUUCCUGGUUGAUCCAUUCACCUUUAUCAGGCAGCUUUUUAACCUCCACGUGUUUGAGUUCCUUCUAAAUUUCUUCUUGUGAUUGAGUUCUAGUUUCAAAGCAUUGUUGUCUGAAAAUAUGCAGGGGACAAUCCCAAUCUUUGGUAUUGUUUGAGACAUGAUUUGUGACCCAGUAUGUGGUCUAUUCUCGAGAAAGUUCCAUGUGCACUUGAGAACAAUGUGCAUUCAGUUGUGUUCAGAUGGAAAUUUCUGUAUAUAUCUCUGAAAUCCAUCUGGUGCAGUGUACCAUAUACAGGUCUUAUUUCUUUGGUCAUGUUGUGCUUAGAAAAUCUGUCCCUUACAGAAAAUGCCAUGUUGAAGUCUCCUACUCUUAGUGUAUUAUUAUCUAAGUAUGUCUUUACUUUGGUUAUUAAUUGAUUGAUAUACUUGGCAGUCCCACAUUAGGAGCCUAAAUAUCAUGAUUGUUAGCUCUUCUUGUUGGAUAUGCCCUUUAAGUAUGAUAUAAUGCCCCUCUUCAUCUAUUACUACAGUCUUUGAGAUAUACUUUAAUGUAUCUGAUAAGAUGAUUGCUACCCAAGCUUUCUUUUGAAGACCAUUGAAUGGUAAAUAGUUCUCCAACCUUUCAUUUUCAAGGCUCAUCAGGGAUAUUGUUCAUCAUAGGUCUCAAAUGAGUCUUUUGGAGACAACAAAUAGAUGGGUAUUGCUCUUUCAUCCAGUCUGAAACCCUGCAUCUUUUGAUGGGAUCAUUUAUCCCAUUCACGUUCAGAGUUAAUAUUGAAAGGUAUGAAUUUAGUGUCAUCAUAAUACCUAUUUAGUCCCUGUUUUUGUGGACUAUUUCUUUGGGCUUCCUAUUUCUUUUACAGGGUCACCCUUAAUAUUUUUUGCAGAACUGUUUUGAUGGUCACAUAUUCUUUUAGUUUCUGACUAUCUUGCAAGCUCUUUAUCUCUCCUAUUCUGAAUGACAGCCUUGCUGGAUAAAGAAUUCUUGUUGCAUGUUCUUAUCAUUUAGUAACCUGAAUAUAUCCUACCAGCCCUUUCUGGCCUGCCAGGUUUCUGUGGAGAUGUCUGCUGUUAUUCUUACAUUUCUCCUCAUUUAAGUUAGGGCUCUCUUGUCUCUUGCUGGUUUAAGGAUUUUCUCUUUAUCUUUGGAAUUUGCAAGUUUCACUAUUACAUGUAGAGGUGUUGAAUGUUUUUUAUUGAUUUUGGUGGGAACCUCUCUAUCUCCUGUAUCUGAAUGUCUGUUUCCCUCCCUAAAUUAGGAAGUUCUCCACUAUCAUUUGUUCAGAUAUACUUUCUGUCCCUCUGUCCCUCUCGGCGCUCUCUGGAACCCCAAUUAUAUGCAGAUUUUUCCUUCUGAGGCUAUCAUUUAUUUCCCUUAACCUUUCCUCAUGGUCUUUAAUUGUUCUUCUCUUUUUUUUUCCUCAGCUUCCUUCCUUGCCAUCAACUUGUCUUCUAUGUCACAAACUCUUUCUUCUACUUCAUUAACCCUCAUUGUUAGGACCUCCAGUUUGGAUUGCAUCUCAUUUAAUUGAUUUUUAAUUUUGGUCUGAUUAGAAAUAAAUCUGCUGUCAUGAGGUCUGUUGAAUCCUUUGUGCUUUUUGCCAGAGCCAGCAGUAGCUUUAUAAUAUGCUUCUGAAUUGGCUUUCUGACAUUGAAUUGUAAUCCAAGUUCUGUAACUCUGUGGCAGAGAGUACUGUUUCAGAUUCUUUCUUUUGUGGUGAGUUCUUCUUUCUAGUCAUUUUGCUCAGUGCAGAGUGGGUGUAUGAGCGGGCUGAGUCAAGAAUAUCAAUCACGACCUAAGUAAAUUUCCCCUUAGAUGAUUCUGCCAGGGUCAAAGACCAGAAAUUGAAAAAAAAAAAAAGAUUAGAACGAAAUAAAGAAAAAACACCAGUAUAGUGAAAAACAAAUUUUAAAACAAAGUUGUAAAAAAUAAAAGGCCAAUAAUCCCAAAGAAGCAAAGAAAAAGAAAAAGGAGAAAAAAAAGAGAAGAAAAAAAGGGGGGG